GCCAGGUGCAGUGUGUGUGCCUGUAGUCCCAGCUACUUGGGAAGCUGAAGUGGGAGGAUCACUUGAGUCCAGGAGUUCUGGGCUAUAGUGUGUUAUGCUGAUCAGGUGUCCACACUAAGUUCGGCAUCAAUAUGGUGACCUCCUGGGAGCAGGGGACCACCAGGUUGCCUAAGGAUGGGUGAACCGGCCCAGGUCAGAAACGGAGCAGGUCAAAACUCCCAUGCCGAUCAGUAGUGGGACUGUGCCUGUGAAUAGCCACUGCACUCCAGCCUGGGCAACAUAGCGAGACCCUGUCUC
rnacentral:SRP_RNA from 1 species